UACACUUCGAUAACCCUAACGAACAGGAC
rnacentral:piRNA from 1 species